UCUGUCAUUGUUGCAUGUCUACGUUUGUUUGAUGUUAGUGGUUACUUCAGUUUUUGCUGCAUAGCCAGCCCUUUAGUUUUGUUUAGUGUUGUCAGUGCUCUGUGUUAUUUUCUAUUUUUCUACCACUCUGCCUGGUUCCUUCCUCUCCUCCACUACGCCAAUCCAUUUAUCACUAAGGGGACGUUCUCUUGCACCCAUUUACCCCUCCACUAUGUUCUCUGGUCUCCAUCCCUCCAGGUUCUCUGGUCUCCAUCCCUCCAGGUUCUCUGGACUCCUCUUCACUGUCCAGACUGCUGUGUGGUCUUCUGGUGGUGUCUCCCAUUCUACUGGUGUCCAUCAUACUGAUGGUGAAAUGCUACAGGGCUCAAGGUUUUUAUACAACAACCGAAACCCCUCAUGACCACUUGCAAUGUGAUUACGUCAAUGACCAGACCGAAUCAGCCUUGUGAUCAUUAAAACAUUUCUUUAUGAUUUUCAUGUUUCCAUUUAU